rnacentral:snRNA from 1 species
AGAUGCGAGGGCAAUCUGGCUGCAACAUCUGUCGCCCCACGGAUCGCCAGGGUUGAUUUGGCUGAUCUGGCUGGCGAGGGGGGUGUCCCCUUCCUCCCUAUCCACUGCAUGUGCAUCGCUCCCGAAGCUGCACGAUCAGUCGAUGAGGACGACCUUCCCCGGUAGACAUGCACCAUUCAUUAGUCAAGCUUAUAGGGUAGCUGCACUCCCCUCCUAGAACCUCCAAACAACUGAUAUUUAAAAACAGUUUUCAAUUUCAGAUGCAAAGUCCCCUCUCUCAAAAAAAAAAAACAACCAACAACCCAACAAAACCAGUU